rnacentral:rRNA from 1 species
UGGGGAAUAUUGGACAAUGGGCGAAAGCCUGAUCCAGCCAUGCCGCGUGUGUGAAGAAGGCCUUUUGGUUGUAAAGCACUUUAAGUGGGGAGGAAAAGCUUAUGGUUAAUACCCAUAAGCCCUGACGUUACCCACAGAAUAAGCACCGGCUAACUCUGUGCCAGCAGCCGCGGUAAUACAGAGGGUGCAAGCGUUAAUCGGAAUUACUGGGCGUAAAGCGCGCGUAGGUGGUUAUUUAAGUCAGAUGUGAAAGCCCCGGGCUUAACCUGGGAACUGCAUCUGAUACUGGAUAACUAGAGUAGGUGAGAGGGGAGUAGAAUUCCAGGUGUAGCGGUGAAAUGCGUAGAGAUCUGGAGGAAUACCGAUGGCGAAGGCAGCUCCCUGGCAUCAUACUGACACUGAGGUGCGAAAGCGUGGGUAGCAAACAGGAUUAGAUACCCUGGUAGUCCACGCCGUAAACGAUGAGUGCUAGGUGUUAGACCCUUUCCGGGGUUUAGUGCCGCAGCUAACGCAUUAAGCACUCCGCCUGGGGAGUACGGCCGCAAGGUUA